UACGAAGGGUGCAAGCGUUACUCGGAAUUACUGGGCGUAAAGCGUGCGUAGGUGGUUUGUUAAGUCUGUUGUGAAAGCCCCGGGCUCAACCUGGGAAUGGCAAUGGAUACUGGCAAGCUAGAGUGCGGUAGAGGGUAGUGGAAUUCCCGGUGUAGCGGUGAAAUUCGUAGAUAUCGAGAGGAACACCGGUGGCGAAGGCGGCCAACUGGACAGAUACUGACGCUGAGACACGAAAGCGGGGGGAGCAAACAGG
rnacentral:rRNA from 1 species